GACGAACGCUGGCGGCGUGCCUAAUACAUGCAAGUAGAACGCUGAAGGAGGAGCUUGCUCUUCUGGAUGAGUUGCGAACGGGUGAGUAACGCGUAGGUAACCUGCCUGGUAGCGGGGGAUAACUAUUGGAAACGAUAGCUAAUACCGCAUAAGAGUAGAUGUUGCAUGACAUUUGCUUAAAAGGUGCAAUUGCAUCACUACCAGAUGGACCUGCGUUGUAUUAGCUAGUUGGUGGGGUAACGGCUCACCAAGGCGACGAUACAUAGCCGACCUGGGAGGGUGAUCGGCCACACUGGGACGGAGACACGGCCCAGACGCCUACGGGAGGCAGCAGUAGGGAAUCUUCGGCAAUGGACGGAAGUCUGACCGAGCAACGCCGCGGGAGUGAAGAAGGUUUUCGGAUCGUAAAGCUCUGUUGUAAGAGAAGAACGAGUGUGAGAGUGGAAAGUUCACACUGUGACGGUAUCUGACCAGAAAGGGACGGCUAACUACGUG
rnacentral:rRNA from 1 species